rnacentral:rRNA from 1 species
AACGAACGCUGGCGGCAUGCCUAACACAUGCAAGUCGAACGAGACCUUCGGGUCUAGUGGCGCACGGGUGCGUAACGCGUGGGAAUCUACCCUCAGGUUCGGAAUAACUCAGAGAAAUUUGAGCUAAUACCGGAUGAUGACGUAAGUCCAAAGAUUUAUCGCCUGAGGAUGAGCCCGCUUAGGAUUAGGUAGUUGGUGAGGUAAAGGCUCACCAAGCCGACGAUCCUUAGCUGGUCUGAGAGGAUGAUCAGCCACACUGGGACUGAGACACGGCCCAGACUCCUACGGGAGGCAGCAGUGGGGAAUAUUGGACAAUGGGCGAAAGCCUGAUCCAGCAAUGCCGCGUGAGUGAUGAAGGCCUUAGGGUUGUAAAGCUCUUUUACCCGGGAUGAUAAUGACAGUACCGGGAGAAUAAACUCCGGCUAACUCCGU